CCUGGUUGAUCCUGCCAGUAGUCAUAUGCUUGUCUCAAAGAUUAAGCCAUGCAUGUGUAAGUAUGAACUAUUUCAGACUGUGAAACUGCGAAUGGCUCAUUAAAUUAGUUAUAGUUUUUUUGAUGGUACGUACUACUCGGAUAACCGUAGUAAUUCUAGAAACGUGCACCAAAACCCCGACUUAUGGAAGGGAUGCAUUUAUUAGGUAAAAGGCUGAUGCGGGCUUAUGCCCGUUUCCCUGAAGAUUCAUGAUAACUUGUCGGAUCGCACGGCCCUUGUGCCAGCGACGCAUCAUUCGAAUAUCUGCCCUAUCAACUUUCGAUGGUAGGAUAGGGGCCUACCAUGGUCGUGACAGGUGACGGAGAAUUAGGGUUCGAUUUUGGAGAGGGAUCCAGAGAGACAGCUACCACAUCGAAGGAAGGCAGCAGGCGCGCAAAUUACCCAAUCCUGACACGGGGAGGUAGUGACAAUAAAUAACAAUACCGGGCUCUUCGAGUCUUGUAAUUGGAAUGAGUACAAUCUAAAUCCCUUAACGAGGAUCCAUUAUAGGGCAAGUCUGGUGCCAGCAGCCGCAGUAAUUCCAGCUCCAAUAGCGUAUAUUUAAGUUGUUGUAGUUAAAAAGCUCGUAGUUGGACCUUGGGUUGGGUCGGUCAGUCCGCCUCACGGUGUGCACCGCCCACCUCGUUCCUUAUGCCGGCGAUGCGUUCCUGGCCUUAACUGGCCAGGUCGUGCCUCCGGAGCCGUUACUUUGAAGAAAUUGGAGUGCUCAAAGCAAGCCCACGCUCUGGAUACGUUAGCAUGGGAUAACACCACAGGAUUUCGGUCCUAUUGUGUUGGCCUUCGGGAUCGAAGUAAUGAUUAAGAGGGACGGUCGGGGGCAUUCGUAUUUCAUAGUCAGAGGUGAAAUUCUUGGAUUUAUGAAAGACGAACCACUGCAAAAGCAUUUGCCAAGGAUGUUUUCAUUAAUCAAGAAUGAAAGUUGGGGGCUCGAAGACGAUCAGAUACCGUCCUAGUCUCAACCAUAAACGAUGCCGACCAGGGAUCGGCGGAUGUUGCUUUUAGAACUCCGCCGGCACCUUGUGAGAAAUAAAAGUUUUUGGGUUCCUUGAAAGUUGCAAAUGCAUUAGAAAUAAAGAGAAAAUACAAGUACAACCAAAAAGAGCUAAGCUCUAUCACUCUCCUCCGUCACAAGUUCAACAAAAGUUAAAGGGAUAAGAGAGGAAGUUACAUCAAGCCAAAUAAAAUCACCCAAGAGGGCAUGUUUAGCACAAAAAUCAGCAGGUCUAUUACUAAGCCGAGGAAUAUGCUGGAAGAUAACUUGUCUAAAUUUGCUAAGGAAGCUAAGGUCCGGACCAUCCACCAUACGGUGUAGCCCACUAGCCGGUUGGUAAAUCUCUUGAAGCCACUUCACUGCCUCCGAGCUAUCCCCUUCCACAAUGAGUCCCUCACGAUCAUACAUCCAAUCGUCGAUCAAUUCCGCAAAGGCUAAGGCUGCCUUUAGUUCAGCUUGUAUGGGGUCCCAGUGUUCAAUGAACCUCCCCGACGCCACAACCAAUCUGCCCAUGUCAUCCCGCACAACCAAACCGAGACCCGCACGGUUCGAUGAAGUCAGCGCCGCAUCAAAGUUCACUUUGAGCCAAUUAGGAGGGGGUGUGCACCAUAAAUGAUUAGUUGGCAACCCAAUGGGUUGAUUGAUGCACCAUUGCUCCAUCUGAGGCAUGCAAAAAGAUU
rnacentral:rRNA from 1 species